rnacentral:rRNA from 1 species
UGGAGCAUGUGGUUUAAUUCGAAGCAACGCGAAGAACCUUACCAGGUUCUUGACAUCCCGAUGCUAUUUCUAGAGAUAGAAGUUACUUCGGUACAUCGGUGACAGGUGGUGCAUGGUUGUCGUCAGCUCGUGUCGUGAGAUGUUGGGUUAAGUCCCGCAACGAGCGCAACCCCUAUUGUUAGUUGCCAUCAUUCAGUUGGGCACUCUAGCGAGACUGCCGGUAAUAAACCGGAGGAAGGUGGGGAUGACGUCAAAUCAUCAUGCCCCUUAUGACCUGGGCUACACACGUGCUACAAUGGUUGGUACAACGAGUUGCGAGUCGGUGACGGCGAGCUAAUCUCUUAAAGCCAAUCUCAGCUCGGAUUGUAGGCUGCAGCUCGCCUACAUGAAGUCGGAAUCGCUAGUAAUCGCGGAUCAGCACGCCGCGGUGAAUACGUUCCCGGGCCUU